rnacentral:lncRNA from 1 species
UUGGAGAUGCUCUUAGCAUUCAAAUUAAAGAAUCACAUACUUUUAUUAUUAAGUUACCAAAAUAGAAAAAGGUCUUGCCAGUAUGGCUCUGAAAUUUGAUAUUACAAUGCAGAGAUUUUUGCAAAAUUGACCUACAACUUAAAGUCAAACACAAAACUAACCUCCCUUUUUUUUGAAAAUUGGUUUUGCCCUAUUCACUCCACAAGUUCAUAUAAUUUACGAAAAUGCCACCAGUUUUUUUUUUUUUUUUCGAAAAUGACAUUUUUACUCUCUCACCCUCAUCAUCUUCAAGUAAUUACAAGAUUGCCAUUGUCAUCAAUACCACAACCACCAUGAACAACCAAUUUGAAGCUCUUAAUGCUCCCAAAAUC